rnacentral:rRNA from 1 species
UACGGGGGGGGCAAGCGUUGUUCGGAAUUACUGGGCGUAAAGCGUGCGCAGGCGGUUAUUUAAGUCAGGUGUGAAAGCCCUGGGCUUAACCUAGGAAUUGCGCUUGAGACUGGAUAGCUUGGAGUGCGGCAGAGGGAGGUGGAAUUCCACGUGUAGCAGUGAAAUGCGUAGAGAUGUGGAGGAACACCGAUGGCGAAGGCAGCCUCCUGGGCCAGCACUGACGCUCAUGCACGAAAGCGUGGGGAGCAAACAGG